CCUACGGGCGGCAGCAGUGGGGAAUAUUGGACAAUGGGCGAAAGCCUGAUCCAGCCAUGCCGCGUGUGUGAAGAAGGCCUUCGGGUUGUAAAGCACUUUCAGUGGGGAAGAAAGCCUUGGGGCUAAUACCCUCGAGGAAGGACAUCACCCACAGAAGAAGCACCGGCUAACUCCGUGCCAGCAGCCGCGGUAAUACGGAGGGUGGAGCGUUAAUCGGAAUUACUGGGCGUAAAGCGCGCGUAGGCGGUCUGAUAAGCCGGUUGUGAAAGCCCCGGGCUCAACCUGGGAACGGCAUCCGGAACUGUCAGGCUAGAGUGCAGGAGAGGAAGGUAGAAUUCCCGGUGUAGCGGUGAAAUGCGUAGAGAUCGGGAGGAAUACCAGUGGCGAAGGCGGCCUUCUGGACUGACACUGACGCUGAGGUGCGAAAGCGUGGGUAGCAAACAGGAUUAGAUACCCGUGUAGUC
rnacentral:rRNA from 1 species